GUGACCUUUGGCUUGUUCAGCAAUAACUCACAGAUUAAUGAACAACUAACGGAAGCGCUUCAAGUCACAAUGAAACCCAUCGCACAACUUUUCACCAAUGGUUUUAAUACCAAAACAGAGCCCGAAGGUCCCACAUUUUUAAACCACUGAUCAAGAGAGAGAGACAUAUUUCUUCUGAAGCGUGAGAAACCUAGGUUUAAGUGGCAAGUAUUGUUGCGACACACAAUAUGAGGAGCAUCGAAAGCCUAGAAAGACAGGAAUCAUCUUCACCGACGGUGGGAACCUGGCCGAGGGGGAACUUGUCCUCAGGAAAGGAUGCAAGACUUCUACCAUCACAGCAUAUGUUCAUGGGGCAAUAAAACUGAGAGAUUUACAGUGCAUGCACGGCCCCCCAACAGCCUCGCGCCCUUUUAGGAAUUACUAGGAAUGAUUUACAACGAGGCAGACAAUUGUCAACCUGAUUAAAGAACUCCAGCUUUUUUUAGUUCAAAUUUUUCAUUAUUAUCUACUAUUAAUUUUUACGAAUAAGAACUAACGCCUGCAAAAAACCAACGACUUGUAUGUGGUUUCUUGAGCCAAUAAAGCAUCCAUAUUGGUGGUCCGAAUGAUACAUUUUAUGUCACCGAAUAGACUUAAGCAACCUCGCUUUGUUAAAGCCAUAGCCACGAGAUUGCGAAAAAAACCUAAAUAAAACGGCAGUGUUUCCCAA